GACGUAGGGCGCGAGCGUUUGUCCGGAUUUAUUGGGCGUAAAGAGCUCGUAGGCGGCUUGUCGCGUCGAAUGUGAAAAACUCGGGGCUCAACUCCGAGCUUGCAGUGGGUACGGGCAGACUAGAGUGUGGUAGGGGAGACUGGAAUUCCUGGUGUAGCGGUGAAAUGCGCAGAUAUCAGGAGGAACACCGAUGGCGAAGGCAGGUCUCUGGGCCACUACUGACGCUGAGAAGCGAAAGCAUGGGGAGCGAACAGG
rnacentral:rRNA from 1 species